AAACAAAACGUUCGAAGGAUCAUUUUCGAUUAUUUAUUCUGCCUUCGGCAACUAAAAUAAUAUGGUAGGGACCACCAUUAGUUAUUUACCGUUGGUCAGAUUACUAUAGUCAUUUUCUCGGCCUUCGGUGAUUAAAACAUUUACCGAUAGAAGUUUCACUUGAAAUAUUCAGCUUUUAUCUUAAGCCCUCGGCAAUAUGAUAAUUAGUAUAAGCUUUAGGUAUUUAUUCAUGCCAUUAUAAUUAUGUCUUAUUUCCGUUUUAUCAAGACCCAGCCCUUGUUAGCCUUCGGCAAUAACGAGAAGAUCGGUAAGAUUCAUUCAAAACC
rnacentral:lncRNA from 1 species